rnacentral:rRNA from 1 species
CCUACGGGGGGCAGCAGUGAGGAAUAUUGGUCAAUGGACGAGAGUCUGAACCAGCCAAGUAGCGUGAAGGAUGACUGCCCUAUGGGUUGUAAACUUCUUUUAUAUGGGAAUAAAACAGGGUAUGCAUACCCUCUUGUAUGUACCAUAUGAAUAAGGAUCGGCUAACUCCGUGCCAGCAGCCGCGGUAAUACGGAGGAUCCGAGCGUUAUCCGGAUUUAUUGGGUUUAAAGGGAGCGUAGGUGGAUUGUUAAGUCAGUUGUGAAAGUUUGCGGCUCAACCGUAAAAUUGCAGUUGAAACUGGCAGUCUUGAGUACAGUAGAGGUGGGCGGAAUUCGUGGUGUAGCGGUGAAAUGCUUAGAUAUCAUGAAGAACUCCGAUCGCGAAGGCAAGUGUCCGGGGUGCAACUGACGCUGAGGCUCGAAAGUGCGGGUAUCAAACAGGAUUAGAUACCCUGGUAGUC